CUAUCACCCUCAGUUGGAAUGUAGGUUCUGAUAAAAGAGAGAACUAGAGAAGGACAGUGAAAUGGGACAACAGACUUGCUCCUUUCAGUUUUGCCUGCUGUUCUUGUCAACAUUACUCUAGGAAUGACCCUUCACUGAAGCAGCAGCAGUGGGUUCCAGUCUUCACCUUCUUUGAGUGCUCCAGAACCAGCCUCCCUGUGUCCCUUAGAUGUACUCAUUUGGGCAGUGUCCCCUCCUCAGAGUUCUGAGGCCCAGCUCUGCCAAUCUUCUGAUACCUCUGUGUUCCCCUUUUUGCUUUUUGAAUUGUCCACUGCCUGUUUAACCAACUCCUUGUAUUAGACUCCAUGUCAAAACACCUAAAAUGAAUUCUAUUUUUCCAUGGAAGUGACUUUUAUUUUUCAGUGUCUUGAAAUCAGAAAUAAAUUGUCUGAAUCGGUU
rnacentral:lncRNA from 1 species